GACGAACGCUGGCGGCGUGCUUAACACAUGCAAGUCGAACGGAAAGGCCCUGCUUUUGUGGGGUGCUCGAGUGGCGAACGGGUGAGUAACACGUGAGUAACCUGCCCUUGACUUUGGGAUAACUUCAGGAAACUGGGGCUAAUACCGGAUAGGAGCUCCUGCUGCAUGGUGGGGGUUGGAAAGUUUCGGCGGUUGGGGAUGGACUCGCGGCUCAUCAGCUUGUUGGUGGGGUAGUGGCUUACCAAGGCUUUGACGGGUAGCCGGCCUGAGAGGGUGACCGGCCACAUUGGGACUGAGAGACGGCCCAGACUCCUACGGGAGGCAGCAGUGGGGAAUAUUGCACAAUGGGCGGAAGCCUGAUGCAGCAACGCCGCGUGCGGGAUGACGGCCUUCGGGUUGUAAACCGCUUUCGCCUGUGACGAAGCGUGAGUGACGGUAAUGGGUAAAGAAGCACCGGCUAACUACGUG
rnacentral:rRNA from 1 species